AGAUUGAACGCUGGCGGCAGGCCUAACACAUGCAAGUCGAGCGGUAGAGAGGUGCUUGCACCUCUUGAGAGCGGCGGACGGGUGAGUAAUGCCUAGGAAUCUGCCUAGUGGUGGGGGAUAACGUUCGGAAACGGACGCUAAUACCGCAUACGUCCUACGGGAGAAAGCGGGGGACCUUCGGGCCUCGCGCCAUUAGAUGAGCCUAGGUCGGAUUAGCUAGUUGGUGAGGUAAUGGCUCACCAAGGCGACGAUCCGUAACUGGUCUGAGAGGAUGAUCAGUCACACUGGAACUGAGACACGGUCCAGACUCCUACGGGAGGCAGCAGUGGGGAAUAUUGGACAAUGGGCGAAAGCCUGAUCCAGCCAUGCCGCGUGUGUGAAGAAGGUCUUCGGAUUGUAAAGCACUUUAAGUGGAGAAGGUUGUAACUUAAUACGUUGCAACUUUGACGUUACGACAGAAUAAGCACCGGCUAACUCGUGCCAGCAGCCGCGUAA
rnacentral:rRNA from 1 species